rnacentral:rRNA from 1 species
UACAGAGGUCCCAAGCGUUGUUCGGAUUCAUUGGGCGUAAAGGGUGCGUAGGUGGCGGGGUAAGUUGGAUGUGAAAUCCUGGGGCUCAACCCUAGAACUGCAUUCAAUACUGCCUUGCUGGAGUACUGGAGAGGAGAUUGGAAUUUACGGUGUAGCAGUGAAAUGCGUAGAUAUCGUAAGGAAGACCGGUGGCGAAGGCGGAUCUCUGGACAGUUACUGACACUGAGGCACGAAGGCCAGGGGAGCAAACGGG